GCUCGAGUGGUGUAGCGGCCUAACAUGCCACCCUGUCAAGGUGGAGAGCGGCGGUUCGCUUCGGUCCCGGAGACCCC
rnacentral:tRNA from 1 species